rnacentral:rRNA from 1 species
GAUGAACGCUGGCGGUAUGCUUAACACAUGCCAGUCGAACGGUCACUUCGGUGAUAGUGGCGGACGGGAGGGUAACGCGUGAGAAUCUGUCUUCAGGUCGGGGACAACAGUUAGAAAUGACUGCUAAUACCGGAUGUGCCUUUGGGUGAAAGAUUUAUUGCCUGAAAAAGAGCUCGCGUCAGAUUAGCUAGUAGGUGGUGUAAGAGACUACCUAGGCUCCGAUCUGUAGCUGGUCUGAGAGGACGAUCAGCCACACUGGGACUGAGACACGGUCCAGACUCCUACGGGAGGCAGCAGUGGGGAAUUUUCCGCAAUGGGCGAAAGCCUGACGGAGCAAUACCGCGUGAGGGACGAAGGCUUUUGGGUCGUAAACCUCUUUUCUCAAGGAAGAUGAUGACGGUACUUGAGGAAUAAGCAUCGGCUAACUCUGUG